rnacentral:rRNA from 1 species
AUAAUGGGUCAGCGACUUAUAUUCUGUAGCAAGGUUAACCGAAUAGGGGAGCCGAAGGGAAACCGAGUCUUAACUGGGCGUUAAGUUGCAGGGUAUAGACCCGAAACCCGGUGAUCUAGCCAUGGGCAGGUUGAAGGUUGGGUAACACUAACUGGAGGACCGAACCGACUAAUGUUGAAAAAUUAGCGGAUGACUUGUGGCUGGGGGUGAAAGGCCAAUCAAACCGGGAGAUAGCUGGUUCUCCCCGAAAGCUAUUUAGGUAGC